GUUCACAUCAUGUGGUGCAGUGAUCACGUGGUACAAGUCAGACUCAAUGCUCAGAAAGUUUGCAAGUUAUCAAUUUCAAUACACUCCUACACCACUUGUUCCUAAACUGGAAAAUGGCUCUGUCUGGGUUCAGACAACUGCAGCAAUGGAUGUGGACGUCACUGUAUGUCUCUAUAUAUAUGUGAAGCCAAGCCAAAGACGACUUUGUGUUCCCAAAUUUGUAUCUAUGUACUACACAGAAGUGGUGCCCAGCCAGUUGUGGCCUAGCAUGCGGUGAAACACAUGGGAAGGGCAUGACCGAUUGAUUCUGUGGUGACCAAAUAAUAAAUGCCUUGGUAUAA